UUUGCUCAUCAUGGGGCUCACCCACGUACACUGGGCAUAUGUGGGAAUACAUUGGGCGUACGUAUGCAUUGGGCAAACCCUAAUUUUUAGGGUUUGCACACUAUUUAAAUAACUUAAACCACCUCUUGGACAUUUAUUAACCAGCCUCCAUCUCUUUAUACCUUGAAAACGAAAACGUAAGUGCAUUUGGUGAGAUUUGAGCUUGAAAGUGAGUUUGUUGGUGUUUUGUGGUUAAGAAGAAGAACAAGAACACUUGUAGGAAUAGCUUGAGCUUUUAGAUCCAUAGUUACUUCAACCUUUUCAAGCCUUUGAGGUAAAAAGCUCACACCUUGAUGGUCAUUUGUGCUAGAUCUAUUUUAUGAUGUUAUUUAUGUUGGAUUAGUGUCUAAGUCCAUAACUAUUUUGGUAUGUACUUGACCCAAUGGUGCAUGGUCCUUUUGGGUUGCCUUCACCAAAGCAACUUGAUUGGAGAAAUAAAUAGAAAGAGAGGUUAUUAUGAUUUAUUAAUAUGUUAUAAGGAUAAUAUAUUAAAGGAGAAAUCAUAUUUGUUUAAUUAAUAUUGGUCAAUAAUUAAUUAAGAAUUAAUUUUGUGAUCAAGUGUAAUUAAUUAAACUAGAGGGGCUGAAUUGUAAUUAUGUGAUAGUUACAAAAUAAGGUAAGAAUUAUCUUAUAAGUAUGGUGGACGAAUUUAAGGUUGGAAAGCCUUAGAAUUCGAGUAUGAUAAGGAUUCAAGGAUUAUCUUAUUAGUUGCUUAAUGGAUAAUCAACUAGAUAAGGAUAAUGACUGAAACCCUAUCUCUACACCUAUAUAAACACCCCUAGGGUCAUGAAUUCGUGUAUCCCUUCCCAAGAAGUCCCAAAUACGAAUUCUAACCUCCCUCCUCUCUCUUUAUACCUUCUCCACUUGCUUAUGGUGUUUGUAAGCCAUUAGAGGAGUGACACUUGUGACUCUAAGCCUUCCAAGGUCAAUUCAAGGAGGAAUUGGAUUGUUAUUGCUAUAUAACAAUCAAGGUAUGUUCUUAAACCUAUUUACAUGUGAAUUCUGAUUUCCAUAUGCUAGAAUUAGGGUUCAAAGUCUUGGAUUCAAAGUAUGUACAAUAGAGAAACCUAGAUCCGAGCUUUAGGGUUUGUAUGAGCACAUAGGAUGUCUUAUGACCAAAACCCAUCAGUGGUAUCAGAGCCUUGAUUGGUUUCUAUUGUAUUGAUGCUUGAUGUAACUGAAAAUCGUGUUUUGGCCUCACUGUUCGACCUGACUCGGCGAGUCACUCUUGGACUCGGCGAGUCAGCCCUACUCGGCGAGUUCCAGAGGGUGACUCGGCGAGUCGGUGCGUCAGACAGUGCUUAUCUCGGGAUUUCUUGCUGUUUUUGCAUUGGGAUAAUUACCUUAUCAUGUUAGAUUAAUAUUAAUCCGAUUAUAUGAUAUAUUUGACUAUAAUUUUAAUCUAAUUGAAGAUAUUUAUCAAUUAAUAGGAUAAUUGUUUCCUUAUAAGAUAAUUGAUUAAUUAUUUUAAGUAAAUUGAUAAAUUAUUUUGCAAGAAAUCAUCAAAUAUGGAUAAUUAUGUGAUUAAAUGUUAAUUUGAAUUAUUUGUUAUUUGAUCCUUGUUGUUGUGAAAAGUUUCAUAUUUGGCCCUUUAGGUUUUAUAGUUUAAAUUUGAACCCCAAAAGUUUUGUUGUUUUGAAAUUUAAAUAGUUGAAACCCUAAUGUUUUGAAAAAGGUUUCAAAACUUGCCCUCAAGUUUUGGAAUUUAAAUUUUGAUUAAAUAGUUUAAUUUUGAUGCAUAUUUAAAUUCUAAACCCUAAUGUGUUGAAAUGUUUCAAAACUUGCCCUCAAGUUUUGGAAUUUAAAAGUUGAUUAAAAGUUUAAUUAGGAAUGUUAAAUUCUAAAACUCUAGUAUAGUUUUGAAAAAGUUCAAAUCACACCCUUAUGGUUUUAUUAAUUAAUUAAGGUGUAUAAUUAAAAGAGGUUUAAUAAAUCCAUAAAAGUUUAGGUUUACAAUUUAAUUGAAUUAAAAGUAUAAUUGUUAAAUUAGACCACCUAGUAUUUUAAAAGUAUAAAAUACACCCUAUACUAUAUAUAACAUUAAAAGUCUAACAUUAUAUAUAUGUAUGAGUAAAAGUCAGUCUUACCGUUAGUAGGCCUCAUUCACGAAGCUGGUCUAUAAGGGGUGUUUAAGGAAAUUGCCUAUAAAAUGGCGAUUGAAUGGGUAUCCACUCUUACCCACCGCACUCUUGACUAGUGGAGGGUCGUUAGCCGAACGGGUAGGAUAGGACGAAACCUUCCAUUAUAAGUAUAAUGAAUUAUUAAAGUAACUAAAUGUUUUCAUAAAAUUCCCAAUCUUAGUUACUUAGGCAAAAGUGAAUUGAUGCAAUUCCAUGAAAUUACACUUUGUGCCCUUGCGAAGACGUUAGUGGAGCGUGUGUGGUUAACCGGCACACUAAAUGGUUCUAAGCAAAGGUAGCAAAGGGUGACUCAAUGUUUGUCAUAGUUCGGUGGAGCGUGUGUGGUUUACCGGCACAUCGAAUAGGUGACUGUAACAUGUGAGGGCACCAUGUAAGUUUGCAUGGUUAUUCACACCCGCUUUGUGAUCCUCGGCAUCCCAGUCACAAACAAGAGGGGCAUAUCGAGAUUUAAACAUGCCAUUGAAAGUUCAAUGAAUCUCAAAGGAUCUAGGAGUUUUCAUAGAUUUAAAACUUAAAUUUCUUUUUCGUUUUUCAUGGUGGAAAUUAGUGAAUCGUCAUUCACUUACCUUCAAAUAUUCUGCAAUUAGGGUUACGGCAUCCCUCUCCCGAGUUGUAGAAUAUUGUGUUGGGUCCUAGCCUUAGUAUCUCAUUUGGGUGAUUUACUAAGGACUCAAUCAAUCAACUAACUUGAAUUCGUUUUCUCCCGUUUUGUAGAUGUCAAAGUUCGACAACUAUGGUCUUCCCAAAUCCCGUGGAACAAGCAUUCCACAUGAAGAUGAUAUUCCACGAUUCGAUCGAGGAACAAGAAAUCAUGCUUCACUUCCUCCUCCUCCUCCAAUUAUUCUCCCUAACCCACAAGUUCAAAGGCUUGAAAAGUUCAAGAUCACUCAAGCCCUUUUGGCAAGUAAACAUAAAGAAGGAAAGUCGGUGUGUGCACACGUCCUAGGGAUGAAGUCACACAUUGAUAGGUUAAGAAUGUUGGGAUCCGUUGUCUGUGAGGAAAUGGCUGUUGAUUGGGUUCUUCAGUCACUUCCUAACUCAUAUAGUGAGUUCGUAAGAGAGUACUAUAUGAUGAACCGCGACGUGACCCUUAUAGAUCUCACCUAUAUGCUUAUUGCUGCUGAAUCAGCAAUGGUUUGGCGCAAUAGAAAAGCAAAGUUGAUUGGUGAAUCUGCCUUCAAGACCUCUAUGGAUAUAGACAAUGGCAACGAAAGACAUGCUAUGAUCGAAAAGUUUGAUCAUAAGAGAAAGGCAAUGUCUGAAGUAGUUCCAUGUCAUGUUCCAAAAGAGUCAAUUUGCUUUUAUUGCCAAGAGAAAGGGCAUUGGAGACGAAGCUGCCCCAUUUACCUAAGAGAUCUAAGAGAUGGGAGAGUCGAAACGUAUGGCUCUAAUAUAGGUAAAAUCCAUUAACUAACUCUUUUAAGCUUCUAUUCUAGAUUCUUAAUACAUAAUGUGAUAAGAUUACAAUUGAUGUUUUGUAGGAUCGAAGAAAAGAAAGGAAGCUUAAGGGAAGAAGUGAGCAGAAUCUAACCGUGAAGGAAUGGAUUUCGAUCGCAUUUCUCGAAGAUUAGAUUCUUGAGCUACUACUUAGAGUUAGAAUUAGAUUGCUAAGAAAGAUGUAUUAGCAUAGUUUUUCAAUGAAUUGCAUUGUAAGGACAAAUUUUUUCCGCAAUAAAAUAAAUUUUGAUUUUAUAUUAUUUAUUUAUCCUUGCAAUGGCGUAUAUGAAAAAUUGAUGUUUGAAUGUUUCUAUUAUUAGCAAUAAUGGAUUUGGUUCUUAUUAUGUUAUUUAUGGAAAGUCGAGAAUUUACCAAAUAGGGAGAGUUUCUCAUCGCCCAAGUUUCAAUUGGACAGAAACUUGGAAUCAUGCAACUUGGUUGCACGAUGAAUGAGAAAUUUCAUAUUUGGAAAUUAGACUAAUUCAUUGACAAAGUGUCAAGUGAAGGACUAGGAGAUCGAGUACACAAAGUUGCGUGUUGAUCAAGUCCACCAUAAGAGUAACAAAGAUAUUCGUCAUGAUUUACUAAAGGUUUAGUAAAUAUGAUUAUACUUACAAGAUUAAGUGUAAUUCUGAAUUGAUUGAAAAAGUUUAAAUCAAUAGCAGAACGAAUAAGAAGAAUCAAGUAGGCAGAAAGAUAAAAGUUUCUCCAUUCUAAGAAGAAGGGAGAGUACCUUUUAUGCUUUAUGAUAGGUCUUAAUGAUUAAGAACCAUAUCUCAAUUGAUCCUCUAAGUGAGUCUUAGUACAAUUGUAUGUCUAAGAAGAGGAAUCAAGAAUUGAAGAAAUGGUUAAAUCAAGAAGUCAAUCAUACUUCGUUCCAAAACAAGUCUUAGAGUUAAGAUUGUGACAUUGAGUGAUAAGUAUUAAGAAGGUUUAUAACAUUCAUCAAAUGUGGAAAGUUGUGAUGUCUUGGAUAAGACAAAGACCAACUAGGACCAAUUUAUGAAGUGUUUUGAUAAAAGCUACACUAACUCUUGAAUAUUUGUUUGUCAAGAAAUGUUUAUUGACAAGAGAAUCUUAUAUGUCAAGGAGUCAGUGGGAGUCUUAAUGGUCUUGAAAGGUUUCAAGAACAAAUCAAAUAAACCUUAUCGAUCAUCACUAGCACACGAGUUGAGGUUUACAACCUAUCGUGUUGACAUUAUUUUGUUUCUGUGCCAAUCCAAUCGAGUUAAUUAUGCAUGUGAGUUCUAUGAGUUCUCAUUUUGAACGCAUAAAAGGCAAAGCACCUUAAUCAAUGAAAGGUACAUUGAUAGGAAAGGGUGAGCUGCUUAACUACUUGGAAGACAUGGUGGGCAGCUGUGCUACCAUAAGGCAAGAAAUCAAGAUUAAGAAAGUUCGGUCCAUAUGAGUUUGAAUUUGUCGUAAACUUUGGUUUUAACAAAUUCACAUGGAUAGGAACACAUACACCGUUUAAAUCUAAGUGUCAUAAGAUUUCCUCCUUCAUGAAAAUGAUUGUGAGGAAAUGCUUUCACUAAGAAAGAUUUUAAGAAGAUAGUGAUUGUAAAAUUGCAUUCUCGAAUUCGAUUAUGGUUACGGUAUCCCUUUCCAUAAUUUGAAUUGUGAGGUUUGGCAAUUAGUCUUAAUUGUUUAGACACACAUAUGAACUAUCGAAGGCAAAGGUGUAUAAGUUCAAGAAGCCUUGAUAAAAGAUUAUCAAAGCACUAAGUAUUAGAAACAUGAACUUAAGAAAUUCAAUAAGUAUUGUUUUUCUGAAAGUUAAGAUGUUUAUGAAUACAUGUCGAAGCUAGUGGGAGCAUAAGUGUUAUGUUUUAUAAUAAUCAUCAUGAUAGUGGGAGCAUAAAUGUUAUGAUUGUAUGAUUAUUAAGGAAAGUAUUGCAAGUUGGCAAUAUUAAUUAUAGAAAACAAGAGUUAUACCUUGCAAAGUCGUAAGGGUUGUAAAGUUGUUUUGCUAUAAUUAAGGGAGAGAAUAUUAUGCUUCAUUUCAAAUCUAAAGGAUUAGGUUGAGAAAUGUUAAUAAAUUUAGUCAAAGGUACAUAGUGUGUUCUUAAAAUUUCGAUUAUGAUUACGGCAUUCCUCUUCACAAUUCGAAUUUUGAGAACAUAGCAAAUAAAACAUUAUGCGUCGUGUCCCAUACGCUUCGGGUAUAGGAUCGAUUGCAAAUGCUUUAAUGUUUGACCAUUCUAAAAUUUUCCAAAUGUCGAGCGCAUUUAGAGGGAAAAGGGACUAGAAUUGGUUUUGACUAAAAUAAUUAAACAACUAUCAAAGGACAAUCCAAAGUUCGACGAGGAUUGGUCGCUUGUGAGUAGUUGGAAGUAUAGUAUUGGAAAAUAUGGAAAUGUUUCCAUAUUGGAUGGACCAUAUCGACAUCAUUACGAAUAGAUAAGAUUCUAUUAAGAAUGAGUUGUCAUAUGGAACAUAUGGAAGUGUGUCCAUAUUGGGAAUUGAAUAUUGAGAAAUCUAUGACUAGAUUAGAAACUUCUAUGCAAAAGGAUGUUCAAAGAAUGUACUUUGAGUGAGAGACAUCACGUCUAUGGAAUUGUCUUGUAACAAUCUCCGAUAGAGGACUUUGUAAUAUCAUUGGCAAUAGUCUUUGUGACUUUGGUGCAGUGACAUUACGAAAGGAUAGUUGCAUAGAAUGUUAGAAUCUAGCAUAUUCUAUAAGUAGCAAGAAUUUGAUAUUCUUUGACUUAUGAAAAACGGAUUUGGAGUUGUGAAAUGAGAAGGAUUGGAAAUGUGUUCAAUGUGAUCUAUUUCACAAAGUAAGAACCAUAGGUAAACAUUGUGUGCAUGCUAGGAGCAUGGGACAAGUGUUGGAAUUCAAGUAAGAAGUUGAUUACCCGAAACGACAAAUAAUGAGUAAUCAAUAUGGUGAUAAAUAAAAGGUGUUUUAUUUAUACUCAAAGGUUUGAGGCCAUAUGGGAUUAGUAUUAUUCUUGUGUUUCACAUUUGCAUGUUUUGACUUCCAGAAUAAUUGAGUUUAUUAAGAAUAAUCGAAUUAUUCAAACGGGCCACAGUCGUUCAUAUGUUGGAAGUAGAUAUGAAUGAAGACUGUCGUGAAUUGGUGUGUGGAUUGUCUAAAAGAGUAUUAGACAUAAGCAAAUGUUUGCUGCAACGUUCAUGAGUGCUUAUGAAUAUGAUUUGAGCAUUGGAUUAAACCCACGCUCACUUGGAUCACUCCAUGAAUUGUAUCACGAGUGAUUGGUGAGACGAUAACAUCUUAUAUUCUUGAAACCGAGAUGUGUGAGUUGUAUCUUGCAAAUCGGUUGCACAUUGAUAAUAUGUAAACGCACUAGUAACUUGGUGUUAUAAAACAUAUUGUUGUGUGUGAUUCGGUGAGUGAGUGCAAGCAAGCAUUGUAUCAAAGUUUAUCCGUUCCUUUUAUCCAAAGUAGGAUAAAAGCGAUAUCUUUGGGCCCCUCGAUGGUUUAGUGAUGACAAACGUAAAUGCUCGGCCGGGCUAGGGCUAAUUUGAUUUGUUCAAUUAGUCAGUCGUCAUAAAUCGGAAAUCGAGAUAUAGUACAAAGAGAAUGAUUUGAAAUCAUAUCUCAUAUGAUAUCUAGAAUGGAGGAAUAUAUGAUCCCUUAUCUAAGGACACGCGUAUCUGAUAUGAUCAGAGUUGACAGCGGCUUUGGAAAGCUACGAUUGCAGAUCGGGAUCCGAAGUCAUACGCAGAAUAGUUGUUAGACUUAUCCAAGUGGGAGACUGUUGGAUUAGUGUCUAAGUCCAUAACUAUUUUGGUAUGUACUUGACCCGAUGGUGCAUGGUCCUUUUGGGUUGCCUUCACCAAAGCAACUUGAUUGGAGAAAUAAAUAGAAAGAGAGGUUAUUAUGAUUUAUUAAUAUGUUAUAAGGAUAAUAUAUUAAAGGAGAAAUCA
rnacentral:lncRNA from 1 species